rnacentral:lncRNA from 1 species
GCUGGAUGUAGAACUUAAUGGGUCUCACACAUAUGAAAAUUGGCUAAGGACUCUUUUGAUAAGGUUGAUUGAAAUUUUAGAUCUAAUCAGGAUCUCCGGUAAGCAUGCUAACAUGUGUGGAAACCCUAGUUUCUUAGGAGAUCAAUUUGAUCUCAAAUCUUGCUAAUUUGCUAACCCAAUUUGGUGAGCAAUUGGGAUAAGUUGUGCCACCUAGAGGCAUCCCAAAAUGGGGCACCUCAUUUCAAGUUAAUGCCA